UAGUCCACGCUGUAAACGAUGUCUACUUGGAGGUUGUUGUCUUGAAUGAUGGCUUUCGGAGCUAACGCGUUAAGUAGACCGCCUGGGGAGUACGGCCGCAAGGUUAAAACUCAAAUGAAUUGACGGGGGCCCGCACAAGCGGUGGAGCAUGUGGUUUAAUUCGAUGCAACGCGAAGAACCUUACCUACUCUUGACAUCUACAGAAGCCAGCGGAGACGCAGGUGUGCCUUCGGGAACUGUAAGACAGGUGCUGCAUGGCUGUCGUCAGCUCGUGUUGUGAAAUGUUGGGUUAAGUCCCGCAACGAGCGCAACCCUUAUCCUUGUUUGCCAGCACGUAAUGGUGGGAACUCCAGGGAGACUGCCGGUGAUAAACCGGAGGAAGGUGGGGACGACGUCAAGUCAUCAUGGCCCUUAUGGGUAGGGCUACACACGUGCUACAAUGGAAAGUACAGAGGGUUGCGAUACCGCGAGGUGGAGCUAAUCUCAGAAAACUUUUCGUAGUCCGGAUUGCACU
rnacentral:rRNA from 1 species